CCUCACCCGCUCCCCCUGCGGAAUCCCGGCACGCAGCGCUGGCAGCGCGUCCCGCCCAGCGGGGGGGGGCAGCGGCACUUCCCGCUCAGCGGAUGGCAGCGCUGCCCCCCCCAGCAGCGGCACCGCCGGCAGCCGCCAGGGGGCAGAGCGGAGCCGAAGUGGCGCGGGGAGCAGCGCUCGCAGCGGGGGCCCCACGUGCCGUCUGCAAUUAAUUACCGGGGUCAUUAAUUAAUUAAUGGAUGGGGUUAUGGGGUUAUAUGGGGUGAUAUGGGGUGAUAUGGGGUGAUAUGGGGUUAUGGGGUCAAUAGGGGCAGAGCGGAGCCGAAGUGGCGUGGGGAGCAGCGCUGGCAGCGGGGGCCCCACGUGCCGUCUGCAAGUCAUUACCGGGGUCAUUAAUUAACGGACGGGGUGACUAAUUAACGGGUUAUGGGGUGAUAUGGGGUGAUAUGGGGUUAUAUGGGGUGAUAUGGGGUUAUGGGGUCAAUAGGGGCCGAGCUGAGCUGAGGUGACGCAGGGAGCAGUGCUGGCAGCGGGGGCCCCACGUGCCGACUGCAAUUAAGUAAUGAGCGGGGUGAUUAAUUAAUGGACGGGGUGACUAAUUAACGGGUUAUGGGGUGAUAUGGGGUGAUAUGGGGUGAUAUGGGGUGAUAUGGGGUGAUAUGGGGUGAUAUGGGGUUAUGGGGUCAAUAGGGGCAGAGCGGAGCCGAGGUGAUGCAGGGAGCAGCACAGCGGGGCCCCACGUGCCGACUGCAAGUCAUUAACGGGGUCAUUAAUUAACACGGUGAUUAAUUAAUGGGUUAUGGGGUUGUAUGGGGUUCUACGGGGUUCUGUGGGGUUAUGGGGUUGUAUGGGGUUCUGUGGGGUUAUGGGGUUCUAUGGGGUUGUGUGGGGUUGUGUGGGGUUGUAUGGGGUUGUGUGGGGUUGUAUGGGGUUGUUAUGUGGUUAUGGGGUUGUAUGGGGUUGUAUGGGGUUCUAUGGGGUUGUAUGGGGUUGUAUGGGGUUGUAUGGGGUUGUGUGGGUUAUGGCAGUGCCCUGGGUCACCAAUAGGGUCAGUAAUGGGGUCGGUAUUGGGGUCACUAGUAGGGUCACUAAUAGGGACAUUAAUAGGGUCACUAAUAAAGUCACUAAUGGGGUCACUAAUAGGAUCCCUAAUAGGGUCAGUAAUAGGGCCACUAAUAGGGCCACUAAUGGGGUCACUAAGAGGCUAAUUAACGGGGCCGUUAAUUAACACUCACGCAGACAGCGGUCGCAGUGCCCUGGGUCAGUAAUGGGGUCAGUAAUGGGAUCACUAAUGGGAUCACUAAUAGGGCCACUAAUAGGGCCACUAAUAAUGGGGUCGUUAUUGGGAUCAUUAAUAGGAUCACUAAUAGUGUCACUAAUGGGGUCACUAAUACGAUCACUAAUAGGAUCACUAAUAGGGUCAGUAAUGGGGUCAGUAAUGGGGUCGGUAUUGGGGUCAUUAAUAGGGCCACUAAUAGGGUCAUUAAUAGGGCCACUAAGAGGCUAAUUAACGGGGCCGUUAAUUAACACUCACGCAGACAGCGGUCGCAGUGCCCUGGGUCAGUAAUGGGGUCGGUAUUGGGGUCAUUAAUAGGAUCGCUAAUAGUGUCACUAAUGGGGUCACUAAUAGGGCCACUAAUAGGGUCACUAAUGGGGCCACUAAGCGACUAAUUAACGGGGCCGUUAAUUAACACUCACGCAGACAGCGGUCGCAGUGCCCGGGGCCCCGCAGCGCACAGGAGCUGUGUGAGUGACAGCCGCACUGCAGGGAGCAGGGGGGCAGCGGAGGGCGGGCAUCUCCAUCUCCAGUAGCAUUGUCGCGAUUAUCGCCGUUGGUGUCGCGAUUAUCGCCGUUGGUGUAGCGAUUAUCGCCGUUGUUCUCGCGAUUACCGCCGCUAUUGUCGCGAUUAUCGCCGUUGUUCUCACGAUUAUCGCCGCUGUUGUCGCGAUUAUCGCCGCUGUUGUCGCGAUAGUUGCGAGCAGCUGGGGACAGCCAGCCCAGGCUGCAGACGCAGCUGUAAUGGGGGGGGCCGCUGCAGCUGCCAUGGCCGCAGCGCUGGGAGCAGCUGGGGGGGGAUAAGUAAUUAAUCGGGGAGAUAAUUAAUGAAUGCGGGGAGAUAAUUAAUGAAUGGGCGGGGAGAUAACUAGUGGUGGG
rnacentral:lncRNA from 1 species